GACGAACGCUGGCGGCGUGCUUAACACAUGCAAGUCGAGCGGUAAGGCCCGUUUCGGGGGUACACGAGCGGCGAACGGGUGAGUAACACGUGGGUGACCUGCCCUCAGCUCUGGGAUAAGCCUGGGAAACCGGGUCUAAUACCGGAUAUGACUCCAUGACGCAUGGUUGUGGGGUGGAAAGCCCUGUGCGGGCUGAGGAUGGGCCCGCGGCCUAUCAGCUUGUUGGUGGGGUGAUGGCCUACCAAGGCGACGACGGGUAGCCGGCCUGAGAGGGCGACCGGCCACACUGGGACUGAGACACGG
rnacentral:rRNA from 1 species